AACGAACGCUGGCGGCAGGCCUAACACAUGCAAGUCGAACGCCGUAGCAAUACGGAGUGGCAGACGGGUGAGUAACACGUGGGAACGUACCCUUCGGUUCGGGAUAACUCAGGGAAACUUGAGCUAAUACCGGAUACGUCCGAGAGGAGAAAGAUUUAUCGCCGAGGGAUCGCCCGCGUCUGAUUAGCUUGUUGGUGAGGUAACGGCUCACCAAGGCGACGAUCAGUAGCUGGUC
rnacentral:rRNA from 1 species